rnacentral:rRNA from 1 species
GGCGAGUGGCGAACGGGUGAGUAAUACAUCGGAACGUGUCCUGNGAGUGGGGGAUAGCCCGGCGAAAGCCGGAUUAAUACCGCAUACGCUCUGUGGAGGAAAGCGGGGGAUCUUUCGGGACCUCGCGCUCAAGGGGCGGCCGAUGGCAGAUUAGGUAGUUGGUGGGGUAAAGGCCUACCAAGCCGACGAUCUGUAGCUGGUCUGAGAGGACGACCAGCCACACUGGGACUGAGACACGGCCCAGACUCCUACGGGAGGCAGCAGUGGGGAAUUUUGGACAAUGGGCGCAAGCCUGAUCCAGCAAUGCCGCGUGUGUGAAGAAGGCCUUCGGGUUGUAAAGCACUUUUGUCCGGAAAGAAAACCUCUGGGUUAAUACCCUGGGGGGAUGACGGUACCGGAAGAAUAAGCACCGGCUAACUACGUGCCAGCAGCCGCGGUAAUACGUAGGGUGCGAGCGUUAAUCGGAAUUACUGGGCGUAAAGCGUGCGCAGGCGGUGAUGUAAGACCGAUGUGAAAUCCCCGGGCUUAACCUGGGAACUGCAUUGGUGACUGCAUCGCUCGAGUAUGGCAGAGGGGGGUAGAAUCCACGUGUAGCAGUGAAAUGCGUAGAGAUGUGGAGGAAUACCGAUGGCGAAGGCAGCCCCCUGGGUCAAUACUGACGCUCAUGCACGAAAGCGUGGGGAGCAAACAGGAUUAGA